rnacentral:rRNA from 1 species
AUUGAACGCUGGCGGCAAGCCUAACACAUGCAAGUCGAACGGAGUGGCGGACUGGUGAGUAAUGUCUGGGAAACUGCCUGAUGGACGGGGAUCACGUCCGGAAACGGGCGCUAAUACCGCAUACUAUCAGAUGAGCCAAGGUCGGAUUAGCUAGUUGGAGGGGUAAAGGCCUACCAAGGCGACGAUCCGGAACUGGUCUGAGAGGAUUACCAGUAAAACUGAAACGGAGACACGGUCCAGACACAUACGGGAGGCAGCAGUGGGGAAUAUUGGACAAUGGGCGAAAGCCUGAUCCAGCCAUGCCGAGUGUGUGAAGAAGGUCUUCGGAUUGUAAAGCACUUUAAGUUGGGAGGCGUUACCAACAGAAUAAGCACAGGCUAACUUCGUGCCAGCAGCCGCGGUAAUUC